rnacentral:rRNA from 1 species
GGAAUCUUGCGCAAUGGGCGAAAGCCUGACGCAGCGACGCCGCGUGAGGGAAGAAGGCCUUCGGGUUGUAAACCUCUUUCAGGAGGGACGAAGCCACUCGGGUGAACAGCCCAGAGGGUGACUGUACCUCCAGAAGAAGCCCCGGCUAACUACGUGCACGCAGCCGCGGUAAUACGUAGGGGGCAAGCGUUGUCCGGAUUUACUGGGCGUAAAGAGCGUGUAGGCGGCCAGGCAGGUCCGUUGUGAAAACUAGAGGCUCAACCUCUAGACGUCGACGGAAACCGCUUGGCUAGAGUCCGGAAGAGGAGAGUGGAAUUCCUGGUGUAGCGGUGAAAUGCGCAGAUAUCAGGAAGAACACCGAUGGCGAAGGCAGCUCUCUGGGACGGUACUGACGCUGAGACGCGAAAGCGUGGGGAGCGAAC